rnacentral:rRNA from 1 species
AUUGAACGCUGGCGGCGUGCCUAACACAUGCAAGUCGAGCGGUAACAGGUGUAGCAAUACAUGCUGACGAGCGGCGAACGGGUGAGUAAUGCUUCGGAAUCUACCCAAUGGUGGGGAAUAACCAGCCGAAAGGUUGGCUAAUACCGCAUACGUCCCACGGGAGAAAGCAGGGGACCGCAAGACCUUGCGCCAAUGGAUGAGCCGAAGUCGGAUUAGCUAGUUGGUAGGGAACGGCCUACCAAGGCGACGAUCCGUAGCUGGUCUGAGAGGACGACCAGCCACACUGGGACUGAGACACGGCCCAGACUCCUACGGGAGGCAGCAGUGGGGAAUAUUGGACAAUGGGGGAAAACCCUGAUCCAGCGACGCCGCGUGUGUGAAGAAGGCCUGC